CCCUUAGAUGUCCUGGGCCGCACGCGCGCUACACUGAUGCAUUCAACGAGUAUUUCCUUGGCCGAGAGGCCUGGGCAAUCUUUUAAACCUGCAUCGUGAUAGGGAUAGAUUAUUGCAAUUAUUAAUCUUGAACGAGGAAUUCCUAGUAAACGCAAAUCAUCAAUUUGCAUUGAUUACGUCCCUGCCCUUUGUACACACCGCCCGUCGCACCUACCGAUUGAAUGGUCCGGUGAAGCCUCGGGAUUGUGGCCAGUUCACUUUAUUGGGAGUUGGCUGCGAGAACUUGUCUAAACCUUAUCAUUUAGAGGAAGGUGAAGUCGUAACA
rnacentral:rRNA from 1 species